UAAAGGUCCAGGCCAUGCGUGCACUUACCUUUUCUCUUUGCCGUGAUGAAUUUGUUGUUCUUUUAUAGGGUUGUAUCCAGUGGCCAUCAAUGAAGGGAUGACUUGAAGUAGGCUUGUUUCAAAGGAACUGCUGUGGAUCAAAGUUAGGAUGUAUCCGUCUCCCAACACAGCAGGAGGCUCUGGAAUGGGUUUUUUCUAUCCUCAAACAAAAGAGGAUGCUCGAGUGGAGGGGAAGAAAAGGUGACAGGUGAGAAUGAGUACGCUCAGCAUCUCCAACCCAGAAACCACUGAUCAGCAACGCAUCUGAGUUCACAACACAGCACGCAGUGCUUCAUUCCAAUCAUUCCACGGGUCAGAGCUGAAAAUGGUCAGAGGUUCUACAAUUCAGGAACACGCUCCAAACUCCGUGCACACCUGGCUCACCACCACUUUUACUUUUUAAACAUUACGCUGAAAAUCCUGAGGAAGAGGGAACAGAGAGAAGAGGUGUGGGAACACUGAGUCACAAUGACCGUGACCACCUUUCCUCAGUUCUCUAUCCCUGGUGCCCAGCCCAGCCGCUGACACGUUCAUUCCUGGCACGUAAUGAAGAGUGAAUGUCCAUCUUUCUUCUAAAUAUCCAACGUUGUGUUCAAAGCCCUCUGUCUCCACACUAGAGAAACCCUGUCUCCGAAACCGCACCCCAGCCAAUCACUGCUGUACAACGUCAUCGCCUC